rnacentral:rRNA from 1 species
UACAGAGGGUGCAAGCGUUAAUCGGAAUUACUGGGCGUAAAGCGCGCGUAGGCGGUUGUGCAAGUUGGAUGUGAAAUCCCCGGGCUUAACCUGGGCACUGCAUUCAAAACUGCACGGCUAGAGUAUGGGAGAGGAAGGUAGAAUUCCAGGUGUAGCGGUGAAAUGCGUAGAGAUCUGGAGGAAUACCGAUGGCGAAGGCAGCCUUCUGGCCUAAUACUGACGCUGAGGUGCGAAAGCAUGGGGAGCAAACAGG